GCCUGGGUGGCUCAAUCGGUUAAGCAUCUGACUCUGGCUCAGAUCACGAUCUCAAGGUUGGUGAGUUCGAGCCUUGCAUCAGGCU
rnacentral:tRNA from 1 species